CAGAGCUGUUCUCUUGUGAAGUGGCAGCUGUAAGCCCAGAGGGUGACGUUCACGUCUUCCUUUAAUUAUUUGCAAGUUUGUCUCCUCUACAUUUCUCUCUCUUUACAUCUCUGCCGAGUGAUUAAAGCUUGGCCUGGCCUAAGAAAAAUGGGCUGAUCGUCUGUGGAGGUGAGAACCUCCUUUCCUGAACAGGCGAGAAGAACGGGAGGGAAGCAGAAGCGGCCAUGACACCUGGCGCCGCGGAGACGGACAAGCUGAUGGGCCCGGAGGGGGUGAACCUGCUGUGUCUGAUUGCCAGUCCCCACGGGGCAUGACGGACGGCCUUGCCAUGCCCUGGGGUCGUGACCUGGUCCCCAUCACACCCCAGUCCCACUGGCCCUUCUGUUACGUGCACAUCCCAGUGUGUGCUGAGUGGGGGUGGAGGGGGAGGUUAAUGGUCUUGCAAGUUUAUAGAUCGGUGCAGGAAGAUGGCCCUCGUCUCAGCAGGACGUGGAAGGAGGGAUUCUGAAGGGCUUGAGGCUGGGGCUGAGGCUGUUGAGGGCUUAAAGAGCGGCGUCCGCGUUCCAGGAUGGCUCCCUGGCCCGGCUUGGCCGUGUCACAUUUUGGCCAACGUGAUGUUGGGGGUGACACGUUAGGAAAGACCUGACAUGUCUGCAAGGAAUUUUGCCAUUGUGUACGCUGCCACCUCCAUGAGAACAUGACGUGGAUUGCCUACUGGCCAAGGGAGAGCGGAGGUAACUUGGUCACGGCCAGGUGACCGGCAGGGGGCACUCUUCACACACACGGCUUGUUGGAGACUCAGCAGGGCCGGGCCCUUCUCCGUCAUGUCAUGGGCCCCACCCCGUCUCAGACCAGAGCUGAUGAACUAUAAGCAACAAAAGGCCCUUAUUGGAGCAUAGUUCCAAUCUCCGCUCGUGCAGGCCACAAGCUCCACCCCCCCACCCCUUGUCUGUAUCCCAUUUCAUCUUGAAUGCUGAUGGGAUGGCAGGAAGCUUCGUUUUACAGCCUCAAGGUCCUAAGUAGAACCACCUGGGUCAUCAAUGCCCCUCGGUCUUCCUGGUAACAAUACUGGCUUCAUCAUUGUCACCUGCUAAUGGGAGGCUGACACCAUCAGAAGGAAAACUCAGCAGUUUUGCUGAUAGAAAUCUGACUGGGCUUCUCCUCACGUCAGAGUCAGCAGACUUCCCUGAGAAAAGGAGCUGUUCACAGGAAGCCCUGUCUCCUGAAGAACCCAUGCAACUGCCCGCUAGGCCUGAAGGCUAUCAGCGUGGCCUUGCCCCCGGAGGAGCUGACCCAGGUGACGAAUGGCUACGUGAACCGCCUGUGCAGCAGUGUCCAUCUGCUUUACUGGGGCCAUCGGACUGGCUCUCCUCCCGGGGACCUGUGACCGUGGAGUUCGGCUGACCAGCUCACCUCCAGCAAAGCAGGCUCUCGGGCAACACCUCUAAAUUGAACUGGGUUUAAUGUUCAUUUAACUCACUGGGCCGCCAGUGUGUCUGUCUGAGCGGCGGAUGGUUGCCACACACGUGAUGUUUCUGAUGUAAAUGUGCCCUCCUGAUGCGUCCUCAUUUCUUAUACAGCUGACCCUGGACAACAGAGAAAAUAAACAGGAAUUCGGAAUACAUCAGACUGACACAGGCAGGAUAGAAUUGACUUUUAUUGAAGCUGAGCACGCUGGAGAUACAGAGGUGAGUCACUGCGAACGGGCUUGGGGUAUUUUUAGAAGGGUGAGGCUUCGCUGGGACCAGCUCCGAGAAGCUUUAUCCAUCUGCAGAUGCGCCCACGUGUCUGGUGUUACCGGCUCUGCUCCGUAGUCACCGGCAGAGACUUCCCGCUGGUCGCUCGGUGCUCGGUGCUCGGGCAGCCGCUCUCCCCGCAUCUUCUGCCUGGGCCCCACGCACGUCUGCUCCUAAGGUCCUUUGUCCACAGGGACAAGAUGCCAGAGCAUCUGAACAGACACACCACCUCAGGUUCCCGGUUCUGGCGGGGUCCCCUACAUGAGUGGUUUCCAAACUGAUUAUUUCAAGGGAUUGUUAAGCAUAUAAUUUAUUUUUUUUAACAGUUCCCAUCCCCCGAACACCAGCUCUGUGCAUUUGGAGCCUGGGGACCUGUCAUUUACAUGAAGCGUUCCCCCUCCUGUGUCACAGCAGCGUUACUUUUUCCCAGACCCUCCGACUGAGGCCGAGUAUAAGCUCGUGUAGAAUCACCCUUAAAUGCUGGCACCCCUUCUCGGGAGCCGUUUCGGGGUAUUGACAGCAGUGUAAAUUGGGGGACAGUCAUUAAGGCCUAAGAGCUCAGAGGGCAAACUGGCCUCACUUUAGCCCGAAGCUAUUUGCUUGUUGUGAGAUCUCGGGCCGGCUGGCGAGUCACUGGGAGCCACUUUAAGAGCCUCCUUCCCUGUAGAGCGGAGCUCUGGGGGAGCUGACGGGGUGGUGAGUGAGGCACGGACCCCAGUGCUGUCCAUGUGAGCCUCAAUGUGGAAGCUGUCACCGCUGUGAGAAUGUGGACGCCACACUGACCAUAGUUACUCGCCCGUUCGCUUUAAUUGCUUCCUUUACGUUGGGCGGUCUCCACUUAUGUGUAAGGUUACUGCUCGGACUCAAGUCCCCUGUAAUGUCACCCUGGACAACAUGGAGUCCAGGGGCCUGUUUUCAGCGCCGAGGUCACAGGACGCUCGGCUUAUUUCUGAAUUAUUGGGGUGCUGGCCAGCCGAGCAUGAGGGAGCAGUGCUGCAGGGCACACGGCCCCACCUGCCACCUGAGCUGCCCCAGGCCUGAGUCAGGUGAGAGCGAGGCCGCAGGGCCCAGGUCUGGUCUAGCGUGUUGCAGGGGUCCUGGCUGUCACUCCAGCGACAGAAACAUCUCGUGUGGGUCAGGGGAGUGGGUUGGAAGGAAACGGGGUGUCACAGGCGACCGUCGGAAGCGAGCUGUGAAACUUGACAAGAAAGGAGGCAGACAGACGGGAGCGUGGGCGGAAUGAGUGCAGCAUGAGGUUCGCAGAGGACCUGUCAGGGAAACACCCGUGGAGGGAGCGUGGCGAUCAAGCCCCUGUUCGGGGAGAUCAAGCAGGCAGACUCCAGGCUGGCGCGCAGGCGGUGCCGCCGAGAGGGGGGCCCUGGCCGGCUGCGGCAGGGCUGCCUGCCUGAGUGUCGGUUUAUUGUCUCUAGUGGAGGUUAUGAAUGUUAGUGUCUCUUCAUCAUGGGGCCGUGACACGCUGUGUUAUG